UACGGGGGGGGCAAGCGUUGUUCGGAAUUACUGGGCGUAAAGGGCUCGUAGGCGGCCAACUAAGUCGGACGUGAAAUCCCUCGGCUUAACCGGGGAACUGCGUCCGAUACUGGAUGGCUCGAGUGUGGGAGAGGGAUGCGGAAUUCCAGGUGUAGCGGUGAAAUGCGUAGAUAUCUGGAGGAACACCGGUGGCGAAGGCGGCAUCCUGGACCACGACUGACGCUGAAUAGCGAAAGCCAGGGGAGCAAACAGG
rnacentral:rRNA from 1 species